CGGGCGGGUCGCGACAGCGGGGCCAGCGGUGGCGCCGCCCCCACAGACACCAACGACACCGUCGCCUCCGUGUCCGGCAUGGACUCGGUGUUGGAGGAGGACGUCACUCUCCCCGGGACGCUCAGCGGUUGCAGUGGCCUUCUUCCCACUUUACCAGAUAACCUGGAGACCAGCUUGGGAAAUGGCGUGCUCCCGAACAUGCCUGAGGAGAAAGUGUCUCCCACCAGAGCGCGGAACAUGAAGGACUUUGAAAACGUAAGUGGAAGUACUCGGUGACUGUCCAGCCAGGCCCUGGAGAGAGAGCUGGGCUGCUUGAAAAGUGUUGCAGUUGAAUGAUGCCAGCAGCAGGG